GAUGAACGCUGGCGGCGUGCCUAAUACAUGCAAGUCGAGCGAACAGAUGAGGAGCUUGCUCCUCUGACGUUAGCGGCGGACGGGUGAGUAACACGUGGAUAACCUACCUAUAAGACUGGGAUAACUUCGGGAAACCGGAGCUAAUACCGGAUAAUAUAUUGAACCGCAUGGUUCAAUAGUGAAAGACGGUUUUGCUGUCACUUAGAGAUGGAUCCGCGCCGCAUUAGCUAGUUGGUAAGGUAACGGCUUACCAAGGCAACGAUGCGUAGCCGACCGGAGAGGGUGAUCGGCCACACUGGAACUGAGACACGGUCCAGACUCCUACGGGAGGCAGCAGUAGGGAAUCUUCCGCAAUGGGCGAAGGCCUGACGGAGCAACGCCGCGUGAGUGAUGAAGGUCUUCGGAUCGUAAAACUCUGUUAUUGGGGAAGAACAAAUGUGUAAGUAACUAUGCACGUCUUGACGGUACCUAAUCAGAAAGCCACGGCUAACUACGUG
rnacentral:rRNA from 1 species